AGUGGCGCACGGGUGAGUAACACGUAGGUUAUCUACCUCUGAGUGGGGAAUAACAGUCGGAAACGAUUUCUAAUACCGCAUAAUACCGAAAGGUCAAAGCUUUAGUGCUUGGAGAGGAGCCUGCGGCAGAUUAGCUAGUUGGUGAGGUAAUGGCUCACCAAGGCGACGAUCUGUAUCCGGUCUAAGAGGACGGUCGGACACACUGACACUGAAUAACGGGUCAG
rnacentral:rRNA from 1 species